ACACUGGAGAGACGAACUGCUAGGCAGUCGAGCCUGGUGGAGCCUUGACGAGUUUCAAGCUGCGUUGAUUGCAAGGCAUGAGAAUGUCGAGAGUAUAGAGAGAAAAAGAGUUUGAGGUACUGGGUGAUCUGUUCGCGCGUGGAGAGAUGGAAAAGACUGACAUGGCGGGGCAAAGCCGGCUUACAACACGGCGAAUACCGCGCUCAAGGUUUAGUUGCCACUGGUCGGACUGUGGGUUCGGAGUGUUUUAUUUUUUUAUUUGUCUUAAAUAUAAAUCAAUUUUUUUUAAGUGUUCCGAAAUAUAUCAUCUGAAACUAUUAAUUAUGAAAAUUUUUUAUAAUAAGCAAUGCUAUAUUAUUAUUAAACUGAUCUUGUGUUAACUAAAAAUGUGAAAUACAAUAUUAGAAAGCCAACAUAUUAGUGUUGGUAAGGUUAAGUUUGAGGUCAUAAAUUAAUGAAAUAAUUGUUACAUUAAUUUCACUGAGAAGGAGUUACUGAUAUUGUCUGGGUGAAUAAACAGUUGGAAUCUUCAAGGCAGAUGACGUGGAACCGGUUAAGGUCAUUCGCGUGAAGCACGAAGACCGCAUGCUUUCCUUCUACGUUAUCUCUAGCCACCAUAAGUUUCUCUGGAACUUAUAUAUAUAUAUAUAUAUACAUGCAUAGUUGAAGAAUGUGCUUCAUCAUUUCCAACUUCUGUAUCAGAAUAUGUUUUCAUCCAAUGAAUUAUUAAAUUAUCAAGACAAAAUGUGAUUUGAUUUUAUGUUAUAUAUGUGAAUUAUUGCUAUUUACACCCGCGCAUUUCUUGGUGACUUAUCGUGUUCUUAUCUUUGGCAUCCUUUUUGUAUUUAAAAGUUAAUAGUGAAAAAAUUUCACAAGUGUAAAGUGAAUAUAAACAGCCCUAUUCUGGAUUUAAUGUUUAACAACGAAUUCAUUAGAGAUUAACAACAAUAUUCUUCCAAGCCUACUGAGGUAACAUACUCUGCAGUGAAAAGUUAUGUAAACCACAAAAUCCUCUGCACUUGGCUGAUAGUUUCACAAAGCCCGUCAAAGUGAGGUGAUCUAUGCGGAAGGAAGAAUGAAAUGACAACGGAUUGUUUCCUCGCUAAAUGAGUCCUUCAAUCCCAUUGAUGGCAAAGCUGUCGUAUAAGAUUCUCAACCAACUUCAAAAAAAAUUGUCUUCCUACAGAAUUCAACUAAAAAUAUAAAUCUCAGAUAGGUACAGCAAAAGUUUCACGUCAUUGCCGAAAUCAAACAUCAUAUUUAUAGUUAAAUCAAUCAUAUAAUCUUUUGAGCCUAUGGACGAGUUAAUGAUGAGCUAUAGAUCAUGUGAAGGGUUAUUGUAUCGAUUUCUUGAACGUGAGAAAGUUCUUUACAUAAACUUUAUGCUAAUAGGUGAGAAUGUCUCACGGCGUUCUCACGAGUUUACUUUUCAAGGGGAGAGCAAGGAAUAUUAAUAGACUAAAGCAUAACCAUCAGUGGCUUGCCUGAAGAAGAUAAGUAUUUUACAUUAAGGGUCUAAAGGGUUAAGAUGGAAGAAAAUGCGUAUAAAUUUGUAAGCUGGAACAUAGUUAUGCUUACCAAACUGCAACUGAUUAGCAUUCCAGUAUUAUUGUAAUUAACAUUUUGAAACACGUUAAGCUCUACUUUAUGCUCCUUACAUAUCAAAAAUACGUUUAUUUUUCGUUAAAUAAAUUGCUAUUAUUAUUAUGUCAUAUAAGGUUAUUUAAAAAAUGUUUUCAAGCUACUAUUUCUUGAGAGAAUUGAUUUUCUUUCAAUUUUAAGGUUUUUUUCAUAUAUCCAUUGCAAUGAACUUUUCAAGAAAAAAAUCAUAUCAUGUUUUAAAAAGAAAGUAAUAUUUAGAAAAAUUAAAUUUUCAAAAAUGAAAUUAAAAUUAAAAUUUAUGGGAAAUUUCUAUUGUAAAAAAUAAAAAUAAAUUCCUCCAAUAUGGAGGUCUCAAAAUUUGACUUUCCAUAAGUUUUAAGUAAACAAACUGAAACUAAAAAGAAGAGGAUACUUACUUGCAUUCAGGAAAAUUCAGAUACAUAUUAACAAUAGCUCAGGUAGUCGGCGACUUUAGGGGAAUGACGUCAGAUAUUGAGGGGAGCGAUUGCCUGAAUAAUAACAUGGAAUCCUAUUAACAUCUAAUUAAUUUUCGAACUACAAUAUUAAAUUUUUAAUUUUCUUCAACUAUAAUCAGAAUUUUUUUAUUACCUUUAUCAAAAAAAUUGUUUAAAUAUUAGUUAAAACUUUUUUUUAUUAAAAAUCUAAAUCCAUUUUUGAAAAGAGAAGAAAAAAUAACAUAAAAUCGAAAAUGAAAUAUUCAAAUCGGUUAAUAAUUAACCAACUUACAACAAAUUUUGUAAAUUUUAACGGGCGAAUCCAAUUUUGUGACGGGCGUCUGUUUCCCCGCUCCGUCGUUGGGAGCAUGGACAAAUAUAGGAUAAAAAUUCUUUACAAUUUUUUAUUUUAGUACACAAAUUAAACUUUAAGUACUGUGUAAAUUUCAAAUAUAGCUUUAGGAAUUUUUUGAAAAAAAAAAUUAUUAUUUUUUUUAAAGUAAAAUGAAUUAGUAAAAAUGUUUACUAAUUUGAAUUAGUGACUCACUUUUUGCUUCUGAAUUAGUAAAAUUUUACUAACAAUUAGUAAAAUUCAACUAAUUCAGAAGCAAAAAGUGACUGACUAAUUGAAAUUAGUAAACCUUUUCACUAAUUUAGAUUUAGAGAGUAAAAACUAGCCGAGUAAUUGCAAUUGUUUAUAUCUAAAAAUCGUACCUUUUUUUGUUAAUAAUCGAUUUUUAUGCAAUUAAAUAAUAAAAUUCGAUUAACGUAUAUGAUAGAAUAUCACUCUUAAAAAGUAAAAUGGUUUUUAAAUAACAAAUUGAAUAAUUUAAAAAUUAUUCAUCCAUUCAGGUUCGAAGUUUUUUCAAUUUGUUUGGUAUCGCGAGGGGCACAUUUUCGUCAAGUUUCAAUCAGAUUGGAUUAUUAUUAACAAACUUAUUAAACAAUUAAAAAAGCACCAUUUUUAAUCGUUUAAAUUCAAUGACUUUUAAACAAAUAUUUAAUGUUUAACUUUAGACCCACCAUUUAUACCUCCUUUUUUAAUCACCACUUUUUCUUCUAAAAUGUAGAUGAAAGCAAUGAGCACCAAAAAACCGCCGCAUCUUUUACCAACCGGACAUCGAGAGCAAACUAAGGGUCCUUCAUAUUUCCCACCAAAAUUACCAAAAUCCGUUUAGAACAGGCUGUUUACAUUUAAUGGCAUUUUUUGUCUUUAUUGACUGGCCUAUAUUUAAACAUUAAAAAAAUGUGUCAAUUAUGAAUUCUUAAAAAAGAAAAGAAUAUCUACUUAUGUUGUUUUUUGCAUCAACUUGUCGAUUUUAGUAGGUUUGUUUAACGUAUUCUUAUUUUGUAUGCGUUGAACCUGAAGGUUCGAUCCCUUAUACCUCCAAAUGAUUUUUUUCAUGCAAUAUUAAGUUAGUAUAAAAAUUUUAAAUAACUUAAUAAUAAUAAUUAAUAAUAAAAAUAAAGUAUAAUGGUUUUUUUUAAAUUACGUAUUCAACAACCCGUGUAGAAAUUUAUCGUGGACCUGCACACUGACACUGUUCAAAAAUGCAAAAAUAUGGAACACUAGAUUUAUAAAUUUGAUUUUUUCAGGACAGGUUUUUUCAGAAUAAAUUUCCACGACAAAUACUGUCUAGCAUUAGUCUAUUUCUAGGAAGGCCACGAUAAAUUUCUACACGGGAAAUUAUAAGAAUUUUUAUCACACACACAACUUUUUAAAUUUUGUUAAAAAUAAUUUAAUAUCUCUCCUCUUGCCUAUAGAUAUAUGCAUAUACUUCUUUCCUGAGUUCUAGAGAAAAGUUAUAGUCUCAUUUUUGUUGCAACUCAAAAUGAGUUAAUGCUAAACGACAUAGACAGUGGCGCCACUAACCUGGAUCAUUUGUGGUCCACUACAAAAUGAGUAGCGUACGCUACUCAUUUUUUUCCAGAUUCAUACCUGGAAUUUCAGUUCAUUUUUUUUCCAGACCAGGUUUUUUCUGUGUACAUAUACAUAUAUAAGCACAACAUAUGUAUAAUAUAUAUAUAUGCGUAUGUAUAAGUAGGGGAGGACUUAAGAUACGAGAAGAGGGUGUUGCGUAUGGGUUUGACUAUAUGGGCGGUAUGUUAGGGGAUGCAUAGGCAUAGGAUACGAAGUAUUUGUGUAUACGUAGAAAAGACCACCCUCGAUUGAGCGAGCGCCAUUCCUAAGAGCUCACCACGCCCGGCAUCAUAUGAAGUAAAGGGAAAAUUGUUCUUGAAGGGACAUUUUUUAAAUAAAUAUUAAAAUAUAAAGAUCCAUUUUUGUUUUUGAAAUUUCCAUUUCUUAAGAAAAUUCUUCUAAAAAUUAUUAUUGAUAACUCUAAAAUUGAUGUAGGCAGCAGGAGAAAAUAAGCUAAAAUGUUAAAAUGUAAAGCACGUUUACACUUAUUGACAUAUAUGUUUCUGGAUGCUUCUUCACCGGGGGCUUAUACAUAUGAGAAGAAACACGGGAAUAGUACAACUGUUUAAGGUAUAGAUCCAGCAGCGAGGUAUAGAGUUCCUACGUAAUAUUUCAAAGUAGGAACUUCAUACCGUGCUCUUGGACUUGCCACGAAAUGCUUCAUAAUAUAUUCUGCGUCUGUAAAGAUUAAAUGCAGUAAGUAUAGCAUUAAUGAUAAGAUUUAUUAUGAGCAUACUGACAUAAUUAUUCCCUAAAUGUAAUUCAUGUGGUAGUAAACCGGAUGGUAAUAAGAAAGUAUUUAAGAAUUUAUAUAACUUGACGAAAUUUACGAUUAUCGUAUUAGUUAUGAGAGUAUUCGCGAUUUCAGCUUGAAACUAUAUACUUACUGUGAUGACUCAGCUACCAGGGACUCGACCUGUCAAAAUCAUCUGUGAGACCAGAAUGAACGUUACUUCCUCUGUUGAUCUAAGGAAAAUGUAUAGUUGACAAAUGACAGAACAAAGCUGCCACUGAGAGAAAUGGAUUGUAAGAUUUUGAUGGUUAAAAGAUGUUAUCUUUAAUGAUAGAAUCUAGAUAUAUAGCUAUAGUACCUGAUACCCCGUAUCAUCUAUUUCUCUCCGUGAUCAAGUCUGUAAAAGCAUAUAUGAAGGACUAUUAGAACGUCGCUAAAAAGUAUACUUUUUAGUAGGUAUACUUUCGCGAACUUUGUGUAGAAAAAUCGUUUUCUUAACGUUUUUCGAACUAUUUCGAACUAUUUCAUAAGAAAAAUUUCCAAAAAUUUUUACAGUGUAUAUAUAUAGGAAUAUAUAUAUAUUUGACAAUGGUAUUUCGUCGUAGGAACCCCACACAAUCAUUAAAGAUCGACUACAAUCAUAUUAUUUUAUGUUUUCAAUUAUUUUGUUAAAAAUUUAUGGUUUUUUUAUUUCUUGCUUCUAUCAAAAAAAUAAUGUUACAUAAUAGCCAUUCUACAAUUUUGAAUGUUUUAAAGUUCUUUAAAUAUUGAAAUAUAGACUUUUUUAUCAAUUCAAACGUAUGAACUAUAACUACUAAUUGUUUUAGCACUUGCAAAAGUGGGAAAUUGUUGUUUAAAAAAUUUUUAAAUAUCUUUUUUGAUUUCAGCAAUAAUUUUCUGAAUUAUAGAAGUUGUUUUUGUUCUAGCAGAUGCAAGGUGAUGAGCAAUUUUCGAAUUUGGAAAAAUAACUAUACAUAGUUUAUAUUGAACUAACUUUUAUGACUUAUAACAACGAAUGAAGGCGGCUAAUCAGAUUCACAUAUAUAUUUAACUGAGCAGGAUUAUCCCCUUCAACACGGAACAAUAUCACACUCCACGAGGUUCUGUUUUGAAAAGGACGUCUCCAGAUUCAUUUUCAAAAAAGGAAAACAGACGAGGAAGAUUUAUUGGCUAUAUAUGGUGACGUGAUAGGACAUUACUUAAUGCUGCGCAACAACAAUUUUUAAAUGAAGCCAACAAUAGAUUAUUAUAAAUCUUAUAUAAAAGAUAAUCAAGCGAUACUAAGAUUAUUAAGAAAGUUCUGUCCUAAAGUAUAUAAAAUUUACAUAUAUAUAUAGUAUAACAUUGUCAAGCGGUAUUAUGAACAAGAAUAUAUCUUGUCAUAUUACAACGAAUAUAUAUAGUUAAGACCAAAUUAGAAUAAAAUUUUGAAAUAAAUACAAGUACAGACAAUAACGAAGUAAAUGGACUAAAAUAUAAACAUUGUUAUAAUUAGUAAAAUACAUGAUGCCUACAUAUAGUAAUAAUUUGGUAAACAAUGUAGUUUACAAAUUAGGAUAUACAAUUGUUUUAAAACAAUUGACCGUUUUUGAAACGAGAUAUUUAAGUUGAAAGUUUGUUAGUUUAACACUGUUAGCCUAUGUAGUGGGCAUAUAAAUAAUAUAUACAUUUCUCUCAAUGACUUUUAAAAUUUUCUAUAGAUUGUUUUUAAAAACUAGUAUGUUAUAAAUAAAUAUUUAUAGAAAUUAAAAUAAAGAGAAUCAACAACAUUGACCGCGUUUCGUUUAAGAGAUAUAAAGAGUUCAAAAAUUAUUAACUUUGAGGUUAAUGCAUUGUGAGAUUAGGGGAAGUAUACUAUUAACACCAGCAUGAGCACGUGUAUAUAUAUAUGUAUAGUGGCUAAAGAUAUGUUAUAAUUUUUAAGUUUACUAUUAAACUUUAUUUUUGGAAGUGACGACUGCUGCAAGUAUAAU